rnacentral:rRNA from 1 species
AUUGAACGCUGGCGGAAUGCUUUACACAUGCAAGUCGAACGGUAGAGGGGGCAACCCCUUGAGAGUGGGCGAACGGGUGAGUAAUAUAUCGGAACGUGCCCAGUCGUGGGGAUAACGUAGCGAAAGUUACGCUAAUACCGCAUACGAUCUACGGAUGAAAGCGGGGGACUCGCAAGAGCCUCGCGCGAUUGGAGCGGCCGAUAUCAGAUUAGGUAGUUGGUGGGGUAAAGGCUCACCAAGCCAACGAUCUGUAGCUGGUCUGAGAGGACGACCAGCCACACUGGAACUGAGACACGGUCCAGACUCCUACGGGAGGCAGCAGUGGGGAAUUUUGGACAAUGGACGCAAGUCUGAUCCAGCCAUUCCGCGUGCAGGAUGAAGGCCCUCGGGUUGUAAACUGCUUUUGUACGGAACGAAAAGGUUUCUAUUAAUACUAGGAGCUCAUGACGGUACCGUAAGAAUAAGCACCGGCUAACUACGUAGCCAGCAGCCGCGGUAAAGUGACU